UCUUUGUGAAUGUCAGAGCUAGACAGGAGAAGAUAUCUAUUUGGACCAAGAAUGCAGCCAAUGAAGAAGCUCAGGUGAGCAUUGGGAGACAGUGGAAGGAGUUCCUCGAUUACAAGGAAACCAUAGGAUUCAUAUUUCAUGAUGAUGCAAAGAAACUUGACAGAGGAGCCAAGAAUCGGUACACUGUAUGAUUUUGUAUAGUUUUUCUUUUCGUUCGUUACUACUACUACUACUAGCGCAGAGCAGAAGACUCGAAAUUGUUUUCUUUUAAUAUGUGAUAGCUUUCUACACACUAGAUACUACUAGAGUGAAAUGUGACUGUUCUUUCUUUCCAUCUCUAAAGGAAAUGUUGUGGAAUGGAUCUCGGUAUUACUGAUUAGUUUUCGAACAAAUUUUGAGUUACCCUACUUCGAAUGCAUACAAAUUUUCUACUGCC